UCCCCCUACGGGCGGCUGCAGUAGGGAAUAUUGGGCAAUGGGCGGAAGCCUGACCCAGCCAUGCCGCGUGCAGGAAGACGGCGUUAUGCGUUGUAAACUGCUUUUUUAUAGGAAGAAGGAUCCCUUGCGAGGGAAGGUGACGGUACUAUAAGAAUAAGCACCGGCUAACUCCGUGCCAGCAGCCGCGGUAAUACGGAGGGUGCAAGCGUUGUCCGGAUUUAUUGGGUUUAAAGGGUGCGUAGGCGGUUUAUUAAGUCAGUGGUGAAAGACGGUCGCUCAACGAUUGCAGUGCCAUUGAUACUGGUAGACUUGAGUGAGAUUGAGGUAGCUGGAAUGGAUAGUGUAGCGGUGAAAUGCAUAGAUAUUAUCCAGAACACCGAUUGCGAAGGCAGGUUACUAAGUCUUAACUGACGCUGAGGCACGAAAGUGUGGGGAUCAAACAGGAUUAGAUACCCGAGUAGUCACUA
rnacentral:rRNA from 1 species